CAGGAGGGUAAGAAGGGGAACCUUCCUUCAGGCAGAAGAACAGCAUGUGGUGAAGGUGGUGAAGAGCCUGGCCCCUCAGGAUGAGAAAGAAAGCACCUGAAAAGUUGGAGCAGAGAACAGCUUGAUUGCUAAAAGGAUUGGUAUUAAAAAGAAACCAAGUAAUUUGCAUCAGAACAAUAAGAAAGAUGGCUUAAGGGCACCUCAGGAAUCAGCAAGACCCUGGUCUCAAGAGUGCAAAAACAAGACUUUGCUUUGAGAAGAGAACCCUAGGCUUCCUGCUGGAGAAAGGAUGCCUAAGAAUCUGUUCUCUGGGAUUCAUUUCACAGUGCUUUAGGCAUCUUGGCACUUGAAGGUCUCUGAAUCCAUGAUAGAAGGGAGACAGGGAACUGCUUAAGCUGGUUGCAGACCUUGAAAUUAUUCACAUGGUGCUGGUUUUAUGGGAAUGAAGAAUGCAAGAGUUCCAAACAAGGCCUGGGAAGCCAGGCAAUGUGGCCCUGAGAAAGCAGUGCAUGAAGUUGGGACAGUGAAGCUGAAAGUGCAAUGAAGACCCCAGGAAGUUGGAGAUGCCAGAAACAUGGAAUAUCUGCUGAGGAAAGCUGCAGGCAGUGAAAGAAGUCACCCUAAGAGAGAGACCAUGAGGAGUGCAACAUACAAUGCCAUAGGAGGGCUGCCCAAGGCCCUUGGAGUUCAUAUCUCUCCAUUACUGGCCUUGGUUGCUGAACAUGGAACUACAAGAUUUAACAUUUGCCCUGCUGAGAGUUUCAGUCUUGCUUUGAUCCUAUCUUUCCUUUCUUUUCUUUUUUUUGGUACCGGGGAUUGAACUCAGGACCUUGUGCUUGCAAGGUCCCAUUGCUUUCUAUCCUUCUACUUCUCCCUUUUGGAAUGUAAAUAUGUACCUUGCGCCAUUUAUCUAAGCAGCAUUUAACUUUCUUUUUGAUUUUUACAGGGGUUCACAGCUAAGGGGUUGCCUUGCAUCUCAAAGAAGACUUUGGACUUGGACUUUUCAGCAAUGCUGAAACUGUUAAGACUUUGAUGACUCAGUUGGUUGAAUCCAUGGAUGAAGAACAUGGAUAUGGAGGGUCAGCUACACUUAUCUUUUGGAGAUAGGUCCUGAAGUACAUGUGGAUAAAAUAAUAUGAUGUCUAGAACUGGCUUCAAAAUCAUCCAGGAGAGAAGUGCCAGUAACCUUACCUAGAAUGUGGCUCCUCAUCUGGAGAAAUUCCACCCAAGUCUCCCAUGGAAGUUACUGAAGUUCCUGUGAUGCAGUGGCAGAUUCUCAGCACUUGGCUCUUGGCCUGACCUGAAUCUAAUGUUUACUUACCUUUAUGUCAGAGCUUUGGGAGGCUCGGGAAGCUGUCUGAAAUCCUUGAGCACUGCCAGAUCUUGGAGAUGAAGAGACACAGUUGUGUGGUAUGCGAGGAGAGGAAGCCAGCAGAGAACUGACAUGCCGCAUUCUUUCAGAGCUCCAGCUGGCAAAAGGCUGCAUUCCCUGAACACCACUGCCAAACCUCCCAGGUGGCAGUCUCCACCCUGGGUCCAGUCUUCCCCUGGUGGGGUGGAAAGACGUUCCAGGUCUAUCUUCCCUGUAACUAGAGGUGCUAAGAGGUCAGCUGUGCAGGAGAGUGCCUUAGACUUCUGAAACCUCAGCAACCUUCAGUACAGAAUUGGAUGUAUCUCCCUAGUGCUGUCAGAGGGGAUAUGUAUUUAACAUGCUUAAGAGUUUCUUAGAAUAUUACCCUCCUUCCUGUGCAGUUUUGUGGUUUUUAUCUUUCCUAACGACUUAGCCUUCUGCUUCCUACUUUUGGUUGUUAUUUCUUUUUUCUCUAUAAUUAGAUUCAGGAAAAAAAACCAUCAAAGACUUGUGUCCUGAGAAGUUAGGGAAUCUCCUUGGAAAGAAUCUGAAAAGGAGGAAUUCAAUGUUUGUUGACUGAAUUAAAUAGUUUUAUGUUGAUCUGAAUAGAGAAGUAAAACUAUCAAUAGGGUUUAAAACCCCUGGAUAUCAGGGAAACUAUUACUGAAUGUAGUAGACUGUGUGUGUUACUUUAUUUCCAUUUUACAGGUUAAGAAAUUGAAGGUCAUGAAGUUAAAUAAUUCUAAGUGCCCUUUGUUAGUGCUUUAAUUAUCUUUUUAAUCUACAAUAGGGUCACUAUAUCUUUUGGUUUCUCAUUUCUUUUGGGCCAAUAUCUGUUAUUUACAAGCGAUAUUUUGCUCAGAACCUGUCCAUUUCCUACAGUGUUUUAAAAUUUACUGUCCUACACUUAUACCUAGUAUUUGCCUUGGGAUUUAUGUGUUUUAACUUUGUAAAUCAAUUUUAUUAAGGCCUACCUUGCACAUGAUCAAUUAUGCCUGUCUUAAGUGCAUGGGUCUGUGUGUUAUGACAAAGGUAUGGUAUAUGUACCUGUGUAUCAGUGCAUUCAAGACAUAGAACAUUUUUGUCACCCAUAGAAGAUUUUUUUGCUCUUUUAUGGUCAGCUCCCACCUCCAUUAAUCUGUUUUUUGUCAAUUUAGAUAUGUUUUCCCUUUUCUAGACUCAUAUAAAUGGAAUCAGACUGCCAUUCUCUUAUUUGUCUAGCAGUCUUAGAUUGAUCCACACUAUUGGCUGUAUUACAAAUUUGUCUUUUUAUUGCUGUGUAGCAGUCUACCAAAUGGAUGAAUAUACUACAGUAUGUGUAGCAUUCUCUUGCUGUUUUCAGGGAUCACUGUGAAUAUGUAUUAGAUAGGCUUCAUACCAAAUUAUCACAAAACUUAGUGAUUUGAAACAAUAAAAAUAUUUAUAAUCUCACCUUUUUGUUGUGUCAGAAGCUUGGGUGCAGUUUAGCUGGCUGCUUCUGCUUCAUGGUUUCUUACAGAGCUGUGAGCAAAGCAUGGGCUGGGCCGCUCAUUCCUGCACUUGCCAUUAUUUGGUAAGAUGUGGUUUCUUGCUGUCUGCUGGAAUGAAGGCUUCCAUUUUCCUCCUGGCUGUUGGCCAGAGGCAUCACUCAGUUCUUGUCAUGUGGGCCUUUCCAUAGAGACACUCACAGCUUAGCCACUAGCUUCCUUAAAGCCAGUGAGAUAGAGACGGAGAGAAAGAGAGAGAGAGAGAGAGAGAGAGAGAGAGCGCUCAAACAAUAUGAAAAGCCUAGAAUUUUGGAACUUAAUCUUGGGACUUACAGCUAAUCACUUUUGUCAUUUUCAUUUGCAAGUAGGUCACCAAGUUCAGCCCAUACUCCAGAGAAGGUUAUUUCGCUAAUAUUUGAAUUCUAAGCAGUGGGGAAUCAUUAAAAUCCAUUAAGACAGAUUCUAGGGAGGUAGAGGCUUCCUACUAUGGUAUACAACUGCUGUGAACAUUUGUGUACUAGUGCUGUGGUUUGGAUACAUGUCUCAAGAUAUGUUUCCCAAGGUCCUUGUACUAAGGCGUGAUCUCCAGGAUGAUGCUAUGAGAGGUGGUGGAACACUUAGGAGGUGAGACUUCAUAGCAGGUCCUUAGGUCAUUUGCUGGUAUGUCCUUAAAGGAAUGUGGGACCCUGGUCUCACCUCUCUUUCUGUCUGGCUUUGCAUCUUGUCUCAUGAGAUGAGCAGUUUGUUUUUCAGUGCAUUCUUGCCUUAAAGUGUUAUCCUCUUCAGGGAACCACAGAAAUAAGGCUGCUGACUUUGAACCUCUGAAAUGGUAAGCCAAAAUAAACUUUUUCUCUUAGGUGUGGGUGUAGCUCAGUGGUAGAGUGCUUGCUUAGCAUGCAUGGGGCCCUGGGUUCCAUCCCCAGUACUACAAAAAACAAACAGAUCCCCCCACUUUUCUCUCUAUGAGCUAAUUGUCUUGAGUAUUUCAUUCUAGUGAAAGCUGACCAAUAUAACAUGUCAUUUCUCUUAGGUAAAUGCCUAUGAAUGGAAUUGUUGCAUUUUGUGAUACUUUACUUUCUCUCUCUCUCUUUCCUCUUACAGAGACCAUCUGUAUUGUCAGUCUUUUUAAAAUUUCAGGUAUUAUAAGGAAUGUGAAAAUGGCCAUUAUUGUGAUUGUA